rnacentral:rRNA from 1 species
GGUGAACGCUGGCGGUAUGCCUAAGACAUGCAAGUCGCACGGACUGUUUCGGCAGUUAGUGGCGGACGGGUGAGUAACGCGUAGGAGACCUACCCCAAAGUCUGGGACAACUAGGAGAAAUCUUAGCUAAUCCCGGAUGUGAACCUUGGUUCUGACCAAUGUUCAAAGCUUCGGCGCUUUGGGAUGGGCCUGCGUUGGAUCAGGUAGUUGGUGGGGUAAGAGCCUACCAAGCCGACGACCCAUAGCUGGUCUGAGAGGACGACCAGCCACAGGGGUACUGAGACACGGACCCCACUCCUACGGGAGGCAGCAGUUAGGAAUCUUCCGCAAUGGGCGAAAGCCUGACGGAGCGAUACCGCUUGAAGGACGAAGCCCUUCGGGGUGUAAACUUCUGAACUCGGGACGAUGAUGACGGUACCGAGGUAAUAGCACCGGCUAACUCCGUGCCAGCAGCCGCGGUAAUACGGAGGGUGCGAGCGUUACCCGGAUUUACUGGGUGUAAAGGGCGUGUAGGCGGUCUAUCAAGUCCGAUGCUAAAGACCGGGGCUCAACCCCGGGGGUGCGUUGGAUACUGUGAGGCUAGACGGUCGGAGAGGGUAGCGGAAUUUCCGGAGUAGCGGUGAAAUGCGCAGAUACCGGAAGGAACGCCAAUAGCGAAAGCAGCUACCUGGACGAUAUGUGACGCUGAGGCGCGAAAGCGUGGGGAGCAAACCGGAUUAGAUACCCGGGUAGUCCACGCCCUAAACGAUGAGUGCUGGGUGUCCGACAGCUGUUGGGUGCCGAAGCUAACGCGUUAAGCA